ACUCUUGAAAAAUGGCUGAAGAGGCGCCCCUGCUAAGGGUGUAGGUCGCGAGAGCGGCGCGAGGGUUCGAAUCCCUCCGUUU
rnacentral:tRNA from 1 species